rnacentral:rRNA from 1 species
UAACGAAGCAGAGAUGCAUUAGGUGCCCGUAAGGGAAAGUGGACACAGGUGCUGCAUGGCUGUCGUCAGCUCGUGUCGUGAGAUGUUGGGUUAAGUCCCGNAACGAGCGCAACCCUUGCCAUUAAUUGCCAUCAUUUAGUUGGGCACUUUAAUGGGACUGCCGGUGACAAACCGGAGGAAGGUGGGGAUGACGUCAAGUCCUCAUGGCCCUUAUGGCCAGGGCUUCACACGUAAUACAAUGGUCGGUACAGAGAGUUGCCAAGCCGCGAGGUGGAGCUAAUCUCAGAAAGCCGAUCGUAGUCCGGAUUGUUCUCUGCAACUCGAGAGCAUGAAGUCGGAAUCGCUAGUAAUCGCGGAUCAGCAUGUCGCGGUGAAUACGUUCCCGGGCCUUGUACACACCGCCCGUCACACCAUGGGAGUGGGUUUUACCAGAAGUAGUUAGUCUAACCGCAAGGGGGACGAUUACCACGGUAGUAUUCAUGACUGGGGUGAAGUCGUAACAAGGUAAGCGUAGUGCU